AAUCUGCAAUGAUGAAAUAUGAAUAAUUCACAUGUCAGACUUCAGAGAUUUUGUUAUCAAAAUCAAUGAGAAUGAUACUUCAUAUUUUCUGAGCUU